rnacentral:rRNA from 1 species
ACACGACUACAUUAGAUACCCGUGUAGUCCUAGCCGUAAACGAUACUCGCUAGGUGUCGGCCACGGUGCGACCGUUGUCGGUGCCGUAGGGAAACCGUGAAACGUGCCGCCUGGGAAGUACGGUCGCAAGGCUGAAACUUAAAGGAAUUGGCGGGGAGCACCACAACGGGUGGAGCCUGCGGUUUAAUCGGACUCAACGCCGGGAAUCUCACCGGAUAAGACAGCUGAAUGAUAGUCGGGAUGAAGACUCUGCUUGACUAGCUG